rnacentral:rRNA from 1 species
AUGGAAUACAGAAUACAUGGAGAGGAUGUUGCAGCAUGCGGUGGUGGAUUUGUGGUCGUCUUACUCCACCAACAUCACCUGCACCAAGGAGCCACUUUUUGGAAGGAAGCUCUGUUCGGUCUCCAUGCACCUCCUACUAUCAGCAAGUCCGAUUAUCAUCUUUCUUCUACGAUGUUACAGAUUAUACUAUUUGAGCAUUGCUUCCUUUGGUUCCAAUGCUCCAGUUUUUAUGGCAUGACAUUAGAGCCUGUAAUAAAGAAAUUACAGCUUCAGUUGAAACCCAACUCUGAUGACAUAGUAGAUACAAAUUGCAUUGAGAUUUAG